UACGAAGGGGGCUAGCGUUGUUCGGAAUCACUGGGCGUAAAGCGCACGUAGGCGGAUGUGUCAGUCAGGGGUGAAAUCCCGGGGCUCAACCUCGGAACUGCCUUUGAUACAGCACGUCUCGAGUCCGGAAGAGGUGGGGUGGAAUUCCUAAGUGUAGAGGUGAAAUUCGUAGAUAUUAGGAAGAACACCGGUGGCGAAGG
rnacentral:rRNA from 1 species